UAGGGAAUCUUCGGCAAUGGGGGGAACCCUGACCGAGCAACGCCGCGUGAGUGAAGAAGGUUUUCGGAUCGUAAAGCUCUGUUGUUAAGGAAGAACGAGUGUGAGAAUGGAAAGUUCAUGCUGUGACGGUACUUAACCAGAAAGGGACGGCUAACUACGUGCCAGCAGCCGCGGUAAUACGUAGGUUCCGAGCGUUGUCCGGAUUUAUUGGGCGUAAAGCGAGCGCAGGCGGUUAGAAAAGUCUGAAGUGAAAGGCAGUGGCUCAACCAUUGUAGGCUUUGGAAACGGUUUAACUUGAGUGCAGAAGGGGAGAGUGGAAUUCCAUGUGUAGCGGUGAAGUGCGUAGUUAUAUGGAGGAACACCGGUGGCGAAGGCGGCUCUCUGGUCUGUAACUGACGCUGAGGCUCGAAAGCGUGGGAAGCAAAAAGG
rnacentral:rRNA from 1 species